CAUGCACUAUCUAAAACAAAUACACAAUCCAGUUUACAAUGCCUAUUCAGAAUGAAGCCCCUGCAAGAUCAACAGGGCCUACUCCCAGCAUCAAGACAAUGCAGCAGAUGGCUGUUUUCACAAGACUCCUGCUACCUUCUCCCAUUGCCCAUUGCUAAAUACAGCUCGUACCACCUUCCAAAAGCCAGACUACAUUCAUUAGAUUCAGCCUCAUACUACCAUCUGGCGCAAUCACAGAGACUGCUGGAGCCUAUUCAGUUUUAAUAUGUCAGAACAUUCUCUUGAAGAAUGCGCAAUAACAAAUCAUGAACCCCUCAGAUCAUCA